CAGAUCAAAAGACAGCCUUCUGUUCAUAGAAAGUCUCUGGGAAGUUUGCAAGAAGGACUUCCCAGCAGUCUGGAACACAUUGCCUCCAGUGCUAAAGAUGUAUGGUGGUAUGCAGAUGGCAAUGUGGAAACUGUGGAAUAUUGUAAUCUGGAGAAAUAAUUGCUGUUUUCUUGAUUCUGAUCCUAACGUGAAUAGCGUUGAGUAUCAGGAACUUUGCCUACUGAUGAAGGCAGAGAAAACGAGAAGAAGGAGGAAAAGAGCAAAGCCUAUAUUUUUGCUAUUCAUUUUACUAGUUAAUUUUUAAAGCUUGGCAGAGACUUUGUUCUGAGUGAGAUAGCUGAGGGUUUUUUUUUUUUAAAGAUUGUAAAGGAUGCUUGAGUUCUUUAAUGCAUCUGGCCUAUUCGCCUGCUACUGUCUUCUCAUCCCUUGAAUAUAAGUUUUUUUUAAAAGUAAGAAGCUGAAAAAUGCACACAAAUCUUGUCAGACAAAAGCAAAAAUAAUUAAAAUUGUAUUUGAAUUCCU